UCCUACGGGAGGCAGCAGUGGGGAAUUUUGGACAAUGGGGGCAACCCUGAUCCAGCAAUGCCGCGUGAGUGAAGAAGGCCYUCGGGUUGUAAAGCUCUUUUGUCMGGRAAGAAACGGUGAUCUNCUAAUAUAGAUUGCUAAUGACGGUACCUGAAGAAUAAGCACCGGCUAACUACGUGCCAGCAGCCGCGGUAAUAA
rnacentral:rRNA from 1 species